rnacentral:rRNA from 1 species
GCUUGUUGGUCCUGCCAGUAGUCAUAUUCUUGUCUCAAAGAUUAAGCCAURCAUGUGUAAGUAUGAACAAAUUCAGACUGUGAAACUGUGAAUGGCUCAUUAAAUCAGUUAUAGUUUAUUUGAUGGUAUCUACUACUCGGAUAACUGUAGUAAUUCUAGAGCUAAUACGUGCAACAAACCCCGACUUCUGGAAGGGAUGCAUUUAUUAUAUAAAAGGUCAACGCGGGCUCUGCCCGUUGCUGCGAUGAUUCAUGAUAACUUGACGGAUCGCACGGCCAUCGUGCCGGUGACGCAUCAUUCAAAUUUCAGCCCUAUCAACUUUCGAUGGUAGGAUAGUGGCCUACCAUGGUGGUGAAGGGUGACAGAGAAUUAGGAUUCGAUUCCGGAGAGGGAGACUAAGAAACGACUACCACAUCCAAGGAAGGCAGCAGGCGCGCAAAUUACCCAAUCCUGACACGGAGAGGUUGUGACUAUAAAUAACAAUACCGAGCUCUAUGACUCUGGUAAUUGGAAUGUGUACAAUCUAAAUCCCUUAACGAGGAUCCAUUGGAGGGCAAGUCAGGUGCCAACAGCUGCGGUAAUUCCAGCUCCAAUAGCAUAUAUUUAAGCUGUUUCAGUUAAAAAGCUCGUAGUUGGACUUUGGGAUGGGUCGGCUGGUCCGCCCUAGGUGUGCACCGGUCGUCUUGUCCCUUCUGUUGGCGAUGCUCUCCUAGCCUUAAUUGGCCGGGUCGUGCCUCCGGCGCUAUUUCUUUGAAGAAUUAGAGUUCUCAAAGCAAGCCUACUGUGAUGUCCCGCCAUAUUUCUAGCCAUUUUGCAGCAUCCGGAUGGGGCAGGCUACCCUAGCGCCUUGGAGAGGCUCGUAGAAGACUCUAGAUCCUUCUAGAUUCUUGUGGCAGACUUUGAGGCAGACUAGAGAAUUCUAGGAGCCUUUUGGAAGAGUUAGAGACAUGUUCUAGGAAUGUAGAACAUGUAUUAAAGUGCAUGUACUUAGGGACUUGUAAAACAACAUUUAUUUACUCUUAGUCCUUAGGGAGUAAUAUAAAUAGGAGGAUCAUUUCAUUUGUAAAGCAUCCAAUAAUCCAACAAUCAAUACAAGUCCUCUCUUCCAAAAUCUUUCUUUGUCUUUCUUCUUAUUCUCUUAGCGUUCCUAGUUAAAAGGCUUAAUUGACCUUACGAGAUCGUGAAAGAAUCAUGAGUAAGUUGUCAAGUGCCGCACGGAGUCUUAGCGAAUACUCUAAGUCCGUGACAAAGUGGUAUCAGAGCAGAUUGAUCGUAACAGAAUGACGAACAAAGGAGACGUUAUCGGCGCUAGCACCACCAACAUUCGCAUGGAUGGAGGAAAGAGGAACAAGAAAGGGCAGAAGCAGCAGAAGUGAAAUGAAUAGACACUACCGGAGCCCACACCAAGCGAGGUGCAAACAUUUCACCUACACACAAUCGUCGAUGGAAGUGACGAAGACAUAGGCGAUGAUGUCGUAGACGUCACUGCCGGAGAAAAAUAGGUUGCAAGGGUAGAAAUGGCAAGGCAGGCCGUUGAGAUCUUAGGCCGACGC